AUGCAUUUGAUCCCCAUUGAGCUGGUUGAAGUCUUCAACAAGUUUCUGGGUGAGUCAAUGUUUGAAAAGCUUGACCUCCCUAAACCAGUCUACUUCACACGUAGGCUUGAGCGGGGUGGAUGUGUAUCAGUAGUUGAGUUGUACCCAACAAAAGAGGAUCUUCGCGUUUCAUCUGGACGAGCUGUGUUGUCAAGCCCAAUAUGUAAGGCCAUCGGGUUCAUGGAACGCAGAUAUCAUAAGGUGCUUGUUGAUUACAACCAUGAGCACCUGCAGGAAGAACAAAAGGCAAAUGUAAAGAUCACAAACAAGGUGAUAGAAAAAGGAGAAGAGAUUAAACGGUACAAAAAGAGCAUCAAAUAG
rnacentral:rRNA from 1 species